AUUCCUGACAGGGCGAGGGCUGCGCUCGGAACAGCGUGUCCGUGUCCGCCCCAGCGGAGCGAUGCCCAGGAAAGCCUCUCCCGGCCGGCCCAUGGGGAAUGCGCAGCGCCCGCCCGCGGCUCCCAGGGAAGGCGCGGCAGAGGCCCCGGAGGCAUCGCCGGGCCUGAAGCACCGCAGGAACCACCCCGACCCCGGCCCGCCGCCCGCAGAGCCACCGCCCUCAGCCGCCCCAGGAACGAAGCGGAGUGCAGCGACCAGCGGCCGCACCCUUGCGGAGAAGGCCGGUGUCGGCCCCCGGCCCGCCCGGGGUACCGCCGGGAUGCGGGUGCGAGGGGACCCCGCGCCCCCGGAGCACAGCACCCCGCUGCCGCCAUUUUGCGACCCGGCGCGCUGACAUGUCGCGCGCCGUGCGUAGCGCCGCCCCCCGCGCCUGCGCCCCGCGCCCGCGGCGGCCGAGCCGGGGCAGCUGCUCAGCGCCGCGGCGGCGGCGGAGACAAAGCGCCGGGUAAUGAAUGGGACGGGCCCGCCCGGCCCUUCCUCUUAACUCCUUCGGGCCCGGCCGGGCGGCGGCAGCGGCGACCUCCGGUUUCCCCCGCGGCGGCCGCCCGGGGAGAUACAAUCAUCUCAUUAAGUUUGAGUAGCAAGUAUUUAACCUCAAAUGAAGCCGCCUGCCUGCAGUGGAACAGAUGUUGAUUUUGAGUUGUCUUCAGUGGCUUACUGAACUGUGGGAAGACCAUAAUCCAUUUAUGACAGGAAAUACAGUGAUGCUCAUAAAGAAGAGGAAGAUUCCUCAUCGUUUUCUCUAAAUGUUUUUAUUUCCUUUUUCUAUUCCUCAGAAAAGAUUAGGUUUAUUAAAAUAAUUAUAAUAAUAGAAAUAAAGUGAGUGGAAAGGGUUAUCCA
rnacentral:lncRNA from 1 species